GCAUUCUGGAAAUGGAUUCAGGCUAACAGAGUGUUCUGAAUAGAGACGCCUAAAACAAGAGCCAAAGACAUAGCAAUGGAGAACGUGGGUGGUACAGCCCUCCACCCUGGCGAGCAGCACAUUAGAAUCACGUAGGAGCUUAAAAAGUACUGACUGGCCUGGUCUUUUUCGGUGUGAAGGCAAUUGGACCACCCAAAUGGCAAACUAAAAGCAUAGAAGCGGACACCAGAGGCUCCUGGACCUGAGAUGUGGCCCUGGAAGUGACCAGAUGUGGUCUCAAGAGAUGGGGGCCCAGGGCUAGGAAUGCCGCCAUCCGGGGAGGCCCUAGAGCAGAGCAGAGCAGCUGUGGGCUGGUGCCAAGCUCACUCCUGCUUCUCUCUGCACGUCUCCCUCAUUCUUUUCUCUCUGAACUGUGACCCUUUUGGCCCCUCUGAGUACCAGGUGGGACAAGGUGACCCCUCAGCACUUGAGUUUACACCUUAGAUGUGUAGGUCCUCACAGAGGCCAACUUAUCUCCUUCUGGGACCAAAUUCCAAAUUCCUAAAGAAAAAACAAACCAAAAACGGAUAUGAUAAAC
rnacentral:lncRNA from 10 species